UGGGGAAUAUUGCGCAAUGGGCGAAAGCCUGACGCAGCGACGCCGCGUGAGGGAUGAAGGCCUUCGGGUUGUAAACCUCUUUCAGCAGGGAAGAAGCGAAAGUGACGGUACCUGCAGAAGAAGCACCGGCUAACUACGUGCCAGCAGCCGCGGUAAUACGUAGGGUGCAAGCGUUGUCCGGAAUUAUUGGGCGUAAAGAGCUCGUAGGCGGUCUGUCGCGUCUGCUGUGAAAACUCGGGGCUUAACCCCGGGCCUGCAGUGGGUACGGGCAGACUAGAGUGCGGUAGGGGAGACUGGAAUUCCUGGUGUAGCGGUGAAAUGCGCAGAUAUCAGGAGGAACACCGGUGGCGAAGGCGGGUCUCUGGGCCGUAACUGACGCUGAGGAGCGAAAGCGUGGGGAGCGAACAGGAUUAGAUACCCCUGUAGUCC
rnacentral:rRNA from 1 species